rnacentral:rRNA from 1 species
GACGAACGCUGGCGGCGUGCUUAACACAUGCAAGUCGAGCGGUAAGGCCCUUUCGGGGGUACACGAGCGGCGAACGGGUGAGUAACACGUGGGUGACCUGCCCUCAGCUCUCGGGAUAAGCCCGGGAAACUGGGUCUAAUACCGGAUAUGACUCCAUGACGCAUGUUGUGGGGUGGAAAGCCUUGUGCGGCUGAGGAUGGGCCCGCGGCCUAUCAGCUUGUUGGUGGGGUGAUGGCCACCAAGGCGACGACGGGUAGCCGGCCUGAGAGGGCGACCGGCCACACUGGGACUGAGAUACGGCCCAGACUCCUACGGGAGGCAGCAGUGGGGAAUCUUGCGCAAUGGGCGAAAGCCUGACGCAGCGACGCCGCGUGAGGGAUGAC